GACGAACGCUGGCGGCGCGCCUAAUACAUGCAAGUCGAGCGAGAACCAGGACUUCGGUCCUGGGGACAGCGGCGAACGGGUGCGUAACACGUGAGCAACCUGCCCCGAAGACCGGGACAAGCCGGGGAAACCUGGUCUAAUACCGGAUGCCCUCACCUGCAUCGCAUGGUGUGGUGAGGAAAUGGAUUCCGCUUCGGGAUGGGCUCGCGGUCUAUCAGCUUGUUGGUGGGGUAACGGCCCACCAAGGCGACGACGGAUAGCUGGUCUGAGAGGACGAUCAGCCACACUGGGACUGAGACACGGCCCAGACUCCUACGGGAGGCAGCAGUAGGGAAUCUUGCGCAAUGGGGGAAACCCUGACGCAGCGACGCCGCGUGCGGGAUGAAUGCCUUCGGGUUGUAAACCGCUUUCAGCAGGGACGAAAUUGACGGUACCUGCAGAAGAAGGCCCGGCCAAC
rnacentral:rRNA from 1 species